GGGCAUGGCAGGGGUGUCAGGCAAACACUAACACAGUGAAGUGCAACUGCCAAGUCUUCCAGCCAGCCCGAUCCUCAGGCUCGGAAACGGUCCCAGAGGAAAAGAUGGUUCAGAAGAGAGAGAGAGUAAGAUCCCGGGGACAUCUGAGCCAAACCACACGCACUUUCCACUGCUCAGCAGCCCCUGUCCCAGACUUCCAAACAGAAUUCCAUUUUCUGAAUCUAGACAGCCACCUGGGUGAAGGCAUCUACCCAUGAAGGCUGCUGCCCCAGGCACCAGAAGGACAGGAGGGGGCCCUUCCUCUUCCUCCUGAGUCAGGACCCUCAGAUGGAGAAGAAAAUCCUCCUAGUCAGAAAGAGGAGGCUCUGACUUUAGGGACAAUCUUUCUAGUUAGAGAGAGGAGGUCUGAACUCUGUGGACAAUCUUUCCAGUCAGAGAGAGAAGGCCUGGACUUCAGGGACAAUUUUUUCUGGUUAGACAGAGGAGGUGGUGGUGGUAGUGCAUGCCUGUAGUCCCAGCUACUCAAGAGGCCAGGGUGGGAGGAUCACUUGAGCCCAGGAAUUGAGGCUGCAGUGAGCCACUGCGCUCUAGCCUGGGUGACAGAGCAAGACCCUGUCUCUAAAAAUAAAAAUAAAAAAUUGGAUGGUGGCUCACAUGCGUAAUCCCAACACUUUGGGAGCCCAAGGGGGGAGAAUCACUUGGGGACAGCCUUUCCAGUCAGAGAGAGGAGGCCUGGACUCUGAGGACAAUCUUUCCAGUCAGAGAGAAGAGGCCUGGACGCUGAGGACAAUCUUUCCAGUCAGAGAGAAGAGGCCUGGACUCUGAGGGCAAUCUUUCCAAUCAGAGAGAAGAGGCCUGAACUCUGAGGACAGUCUCUAGUCAGAGAGAGGAGGCCUGGACUCUGAGGACAGUCUUUCCAGUCACAGAGAGGAGUCCUGGACUCUGAGGACAAUCUUUUCAGUCAGAGAGAAGAGGCCUGGACUCUGAGGGCAGUCUUUCCAGUCAGAGAGAAGAGGCCUGGACUCUGAGGACAGUCUUUCCAGUCAGAGAGAGGAGGCCUGGACUCUGAGGACAAUCUUUCCAGUCAGAGAGAAGAGGCCUGGACUCUGAGGGCAAUCUUUCCAGUCAGAGGGAAGAGGCCUGGACUCUGAGGACAGUCUUUCCAGUCAGAGAGAGGAGGCCUGGACUCUGAGGACAGUCUUUCCAGUCAGAGAGAGGAGGCCUGGACUCUCAGGACAAUCUUUCCAGUCAGAGAGAGGAGGUCUGGACUCUGAGGACAGGCUUUCCAGUCAGAGAGAGGAGGCCUGGACUCUCAGGACAGUCUUUCCAGUCAGAGAGAGGAGGUCUGGACUCUGAGGACAGGCUUUCCAGUCAGAGAGAGGAGGCCUGGACUCUCAGGACAGUCUUUCCAGUCAGAGAGAGGAGGCCUGGACUCUCAGGACAGUCUUUCCAGUCAAAGAUUCUAGGCCUGGACUUUGGGGACAGCCUUCUCCAUCAAGAGAGAGGAGGCCAGGAUUUUAGGCAAUGGGGAAUAAUUAAUCAAUACAUGAAAAUUGAUUGUGUUCCACAAAAUACAAAACGUACCAAGUCAGCAAUCUUUAACCAUGUCAGACUUCCCUGGAGUCACAACCUGAGGACAGAGAUUUAAAUGAUGUUCCUUUCUACAGAAAGGCCUUCACUCUAAGUAUCAGGCCCAGCUUCUGCUGCAUUAAACAUAAGAUGUAUAAGGCCCCAGGCCUGAUGUGUCUUGCUGCCCAGCCAGCCCUGCUGGUCCAGCAAACCAGGAGGAAUUCGAGAAAAUCAGAAGCCAUCUUUAGCAGGAAAUAGAACUCCAGAGGGGCUGUGAGCUCCUUCAGCACAAAAGAAAACGUUGAUUCUGGCCGGGUGCGGUGGCUCACACCGGUAUAUCCCACUGCUUUGGGAAGCUGAGGUGGGUGGACCACUUCAGGUCAGGAGUUUGAGACCAACCUGGGCAACAUGGUGAAACUCCUGUCUCUACUAAAAACACAAAAACUAGCCGGGCAUGGUGGCAGGUGCCUGUAAUCCCAACUACUUGGGAGGCUGAGGCGGGAGGAUUGUUUGAACCCAUAAGGCGGAGGUUACAGUGAGCCGAGAUGGUGUCACUGCACUCCAGACUGGGUAACAGAGGAAGACUCUGUCUCAAAAAAAAAAAAAAAAAAAGAAGAAGAAGAAGAAAAGAAAAUGCUGAUUCUGGUAAUGAUGCUCUCGGAUGGUAUGAUUCCCAGAAACACAGGAGCUCUCACCAUCACUGGGAUGUGAAAAUUCACUCAGGAAACCUCCUCAGCCCCACAGCACAUCUCCCAGAAGCAUGAUGGUCCCCUCCACAUCCAACACACAGCCACCGAGAGCCUCUGACCUGUGGACACCAUGCUGGGUGUUCACCAGUCAUGGCGGGGGGACAGACAGGUGUCCUGGGCCUUGGAGAAUCUAAUGUCCGUGGAGCAGACACAGGCAAGAAAUCACAGCUGGGCAAAAUUACAAUGGGGAGCAGUGCUAGGGAGGAAAGACCCCUAGCUUCUCUUCCAGAGGAGAAGGUAGUCUGGGAUGUCGUCCCCGUGGCCUCAUCAAUGAGAUCAGGGAAGGGUAACAGGGAACACGCCGCACCACGGGCAUCAGGGUGGGUGAAGUAGGGCUCGGGGAGGGAGGACCAGCAGCCUGGGAGGGUCGUGUGGUGGCUGAAGUUGCCAAGGAGGCCACGGUGUUGAAGCAACCAAGAAGGCGGGGACAAGUGAGGCAGAAGUGGGCGACCUCGCAGGCCUCCACGAAGAACCCGCCUUUGUUUUAGGAGCAAUGGGAAGACACAGCAUGUUUAGAGGUGGAGGGAUCUCUUGCCAGAACUGUUCUAGAAGCCUGGUGGCGGGGACUGGUAAAUAUACUGAAAACCAAACCAAACAAAACGAAGCCCCAUACCCUUACCCCCCACCACGGGCAUGCUUCCACCAUGACAGCAAACAUCAGGUUGCGGGUGUGUGGGGUCAUGACCUCAUCCUCUGCUCCCAUUUCCCCAACAGCACCUAAUGCACAGCGGACACGGGCAGACCCUUCACACGUGACUAUGUCCCAAUGAUCUUUAUGUGUUGGAGAGGCCUGCUUUGGAGGUCACCUGGACCCAAAAGGCACGGCUUAGCUGGCACCGUCUGCAUAAGCAGAUGAAACCUCAGACGUCCCUCUGAUCCAAACACAAUAUGACUAUAUGAGAGCAAAGAGAUUGCUUUAAUGUCCUCUAACAGGUUAAAGGCCAACACAGCUAAAGUAGGGGCCACAGGUGAUGGAUUCAGAAAGAAAAGCCACUUUCAUGACCGAAAUCGGCUAAGGCUGGGCCGGUAGCUUUUCAUUUAGAAGUAUAUCCUGGCCUGGUCUGGUGGCUCACGCAUAUAAUCCCCAACACUUUGAGGGCCUGAGGAGGGAGGACUGCUUGAGGACAGGAGUUCAAGACCUGUCUGGGCAACAUUGCAAGGUGCUAUCUCUACAAAAAAUUAAAAAGUGAGCUGGGCAUGGUGGUGCACGCCUGUGAGGCAGGAGGAUCACCUGAGCCUGGGAGGCGGAGGCUGCAGUGAGCCGUGAUCACACCACUGCACUCCAGCCUGGGUGAUAGAGCGAGACCUUGUCUCUAAAAAAAUAAAUAGGCUGGGCACGGUGGUUCAC
rnacentral:lncRNA from 10 species